GUGGGAUUUGAGUGAAAUCCAAUCUCUAGAACUAAUACACCAACCACUCCAUUUCAGAACGAACUUCGUACGAACCGGAAUUGUCCGAUUUCACGGACCAAUCGAUAUCGGAUUGAGUCCAAAACUUGGGAAACAUCAUAAUAUUGUGGGAGAAGUCAUUUGGUGGGUUCUGAGUGAAAUCCAAUCUCUAGUACUAUAUAAUACAUCAACCACUCCAUUUUAGAACGAAGUUCGGACGAACCUGAAUUAUCCAAUUUCAUGGACCAAUCGAUAUCGGAUUGAGUCCAAAAC
rnacentral:lncRNA from 1 species